rnacentral:rRNA from 1 species
CCCUGCCCUAUGAAUAUUUAAAUGGCUGCAGUAUUCUGACUGUGCAAAGGUAGCAUAAUAAUUAGUUUUUUAAUUGAGGACUUGUAUGAAUGGGAAUAUGAGAAAUAUAUUUUAUUAAUUUUAUUUUUAAAAUUUAAUUUUUAAGUAAAAAAGCUUAAUUAAUUUUUCGGGACGAGAAGACCCUAUAGAACUUUAAUUCUUUAAAUAUUAAUUUAUUUUAGUUAAUUAUAUAAUUUUAUUUAAUUUUUUUUUGUUGGGGUGAUAAAUAAAUUAAACUUUAUUUUUUUUAUUCAUUAAUAAAUGUUUUAUUGAUCCAUUAGUUUGAUUAAAAGAUUAAGUUACCUUAGGGAUAACAGCGUAAUUUUAAUGGAAAGUUCUUAUUUAUAUUAUAGUUUGCGACCUCGAUGUUGAAUUAAGAUAAGAAUAGGGGGUAG